rnacentral:lncRNA from 1 species
UGCUUAUUUUGUUUUCUUGUUCUCCAAUUUCCUUUCAAAAAAGAAAAGAUAAAAAAAAAGAAAGGGAAGAUGCCAGGUCACUUUUGUCACUUUCAGCUGACACGAAUAGAUUUGACCCUACAAUAACCAUUUAUAGUUUCUAGGUAGCUAGAACUUAGAUCUAGAUAACUAAGAGCAAUGUCAAAGAAGGAAGACAAAUGAGAGGAGACAUCACCCCUUUUAGAUGAAAAAGCAGAUAAAAGUCUCUAUGAAGUAAAAAACCAAAGCACUGCAAAAAAAAAAAAAAGAAUAUGAAGAAAUAAGUUGAAAAUGUAAUGAAAGUCAUGGUCACUUGUGAAAGAGAGAAAAGUGAAAUGCUCUGUCACAUCAACUGUCUCCUGGCUUGCAAAUUCACAACAAACAAGAUGAGUCCUUGAGAACCUGAGGGAGAGAGAGAGACUGUGGGAAGAACAGUCUCAAAGAAUGCCAGCUGAAAAUGAAACACCAUACUGGAUGCUGUAAUAUUUCCGAUCAUAACUGAAGUAUGCAAAACAAAAUCACAAGAAAGGUGCAGGUGAGGAUUAACUUAUGGGGAAACACUUAAAUUCUUGAUAGUAGUGACGAGGAAACAUCAUCAAGUUUCUGUUCUUUUAAAUAAAAGGAAGUUGUAAACACAAUGACAAAGAAAGGUGACCAAAGUGACUGUGACAUCUGAGUAUGCGUUAUGUUCUGUUCAGACACAGAUGAGUUUUCUGCAAUAUUGUCCAAAGUAGAAUAAAGGAAGCUACUGAUGACAAAUAAGGGAAGCACAGAAGAUCAGUUCUUCGGCCACAAUUCCUCAAGCUACUGCCUCCAGAAAAGAAGAUGCAGCUUCCUGAGAUAUGUUACUAAGGAAGCCCGAGGGACCAUUCCAUCGCCCAAACACUGGCCUACAGACACUGCUCCAGACGUUGCUCUUGAGGGACUGGGCAUCCUAUAUCUGCACCGUCCCUGAGUGAAUGACUCCCAUGUCCCAUGUUGUCACAGAGUGCCCAUCUCUUUCCUUACCAAGGUGAAACAAAACUUCUUGACUCUCAUCUGGCAUUACAAAUUGCCCUGCAGAUGUGGAGGGUUGAAUAGAAAAUCUCCCCCAAAAAGACAAUGCCUUUCAAAAUUGGAUAUUUUUGUACACAACAAGAAAAUAACAGCAAAAUAUAAAAUUGGCGUGAAUUCACUUAGGUUGGAAAUUAGGAGAAUUUCUCUUAAGUAGAGGAAUGAGUUUUUGCUACGGUUUUUCUUUAGAAAGAACAGGAACAGCAAGAAGCGUAUGUAAAUAUCACUGUUUUCUAAUGAAAUUAGAGUUGUUUGAGCACCUGUGUGUACUUACAUGCUUCUCACCUCACCAAAAAAGCCCUUUGAAAUCUGUGGCCCAGUUUUAAUUAAAGCUGAUAUAAAGGAACGAGUUUUAAAGCUAAUUAUCUUUCUGCAGAUUUCAUGAAAAUCAGGGCCGGGCAGAGCAAAGAGAACCCAUAAGAGAAACAACAGAGGGAAAGAUUUCGGUGUGAACUCAUACCUCAUUAGUCAUCAGUGAGCCCCUGGGUUCACCAGGCAUGUAAAUGCCUUAUGAUUGCUCACCCAUGGGAAAAGUAUAGAACAGAUCUCACACUUUCUCAAACACUGAAACCUCAAGCUACAUAGGAAACCAGGUUUCCUUCGUUCCUGUGGUCACAGUGCUACAUUUCUAACACUCCGUAGCCUUCUCCAUACUGAACGGGACUGAAUGAUGUGUCUGUGUGCAGAGGGAUUUGUUUUGAUGACCUGACCAAGAGAAUUCAUUUUCUGACACUGUCACUCAUACUGUGUGC